AUGAGGAAGAAAAUGAGGAACUGCAGGCAUACCUACCCUUGGAAGUCUAUGAGGAUCCUAUGGAUCCACAAGUCUGAGUGCAUGACUGUUCCCGCACUCUGAUAAAUUCUAGUAGCAUAGUGAAAGAAGUGGCCCUUAUGUUUUGUAUUUUUUAGCCACUUCUGGCCUCAGUUAUGUAUGUAAUUGGAACAUUAUAUAUAUUUG
rnacentral:lncRNA from 1 species